rnacentral:misc_RNA from 1 species
GAUAGACUUCAUUCAACCAUUAAACAUCAUGACAAAAGAUAAAUACAGUACUUGCAGUCUUUGAUGCAGAUAUAAUGCACUUAUCUCAUAUAAUUCGGCAAUAAUUGUAUUAUAUUCUUCUCUCAAUAUAUCAUUAUUUCAUUGCUGCUUCAGUCCUCCCUGUAUCACUCGAUCACACACGUUCCACAUAUGCUGCUUCAACAACUGCUGCUCUUGACUAUCUGGAUCCUCGUAUGAGUCCUACUAGCUCGACCUAGCCCCAAUAUUUCUUCCAAGGUAUACUCCCCCCAAACACUUGGACGUAUGUCUUGCUCUGUUAUACUUUCGCAUACCUUUGCCCAUCCCUUAUGAAACUUGAGAAAAAACUGAGAUUCGUCAAAUUCCAUAAAUUUAGAUUUAAGUAUUUCUUUUGCAGUAUGCGCCAUGGCAUCCGUUGUUGAAAUCCCUACAUGAAAGCAGAGCUCACCUUCUGCUUGUCUCUCAGUACCAACAACAAUUGAUCGACAAUUAAAGCACGAUGCUACUCUCUCUAUUACCAUACCUUCAGGUAAAUUCAGUCUCUCAACAUGUCUUAGAGUUAAGAGGAUAAACCUCCGUAAGUUUAUGUUCUUUUUUUGCAUUUUCUCAUUUUUCAUUGACAUAUACAUUGGUAUGGUCGUGUUUCGAUUCCAGUCCCCACUCUUCCCACCAGUUUUAGACUCAAGCUGUACUUUUGUUAUCUGGAUUCUUUUGGAAGCAGCCUUGCACAUAUCAUACACUGUCAGGCCAGCUGUGGUUACAGCUGUCAGUGCCUCCAUUUCAACACCUGUUGUCCCAGUAGUUGCAGCUUCUCCUUCAAUCUCAACACUGUAAUCGUCUGGAUUCAGUAUUAGAUCUACACGAACAUGAGAUAGGGUGAUAUUGUGACAAAGUGGGAUGAGGCUGCUUGUGUGCUUUGCUCCAUUUAUGCCAGCUAUUUUGGCAACAGUAAGAACAUCUCCUUUUGACAUUUGGUUGGCUAAAACCAUAUCAAACACUUUCUUGCCCAGAAUUACCUUGCAACUAGCAAUGGCGGUUCUCUUACUAGCUUCUUUGGAAGACACAUCCACCAUUUGUGCUUCUCCUGUACUACCAACAUGAGUCAACCUAGGUGCAUUUUGAUUCAUGUUCUUAGAUACAGAUUGGGAUUCUAGAUCCUGCGCCAAAUAGUCAUUACUUGUAGAACUAGCAAGACCAUGAGAAGUGAACUGUGGUUCUCGUGGCAUAAAAUCAUUAUUGAUAGAACCAUCAAGUCCAUCAGAAGGAAGUUCACCAAAGACAGAUUCCAUUUCCUUAUUCAGCUCCAGGACGGCACUUGCAAGAUCGUGAGUAUUUUUAGCAGCAAGAAACCUUCUUGAGUGAGGCAAUGCUGCUGCAGCUCGCCGAAGAAACAUGACGAACGGAAUCCAAUAUGCGUUCUAUGGCUUCCAGGGAAAUGGGAAAACAUAUUUAAAAAAAAAAAUCAUUUAUAAGGUCUUAUCAGUUUAAAAUUUGUAAAAAAAUAAAAACGAAACACCUUCAGUGGAUAUGACAUAAUCAUUAUCUUGUUCUGAUCCCAAGUAAGACCUUUGCAAAAUGGCACCCAAACAAAAGCAGAUGAAGGAGCAAGUCAAAUAUGAUGCAGAAGCGUGUUGUUUAGGCAUUUUAGCAAACAUGUGAUGAUCACUAAGUGAUUAACAAGCAAACAACAAAAUGACUGCAAAAGGAACACGUAGCGCACAAGUAAAGCUGUGCAAGGAGAGUCUAGUUUUCAGGCACCUUCGAAGAAUGGAUUGGAGACACCAAUUCUGAGGUUGGCGUUAUAUUUGCAAGUUGUUCUUGUCGACGAAAAAUUUAAGAAUUUUGAUGCAUCGGAGAGGUGGAGCCUCUACCACAACUGCCCAAAACGGCUGAAAGCAGUAAUUUAAUUCAAUCUUGUCCUAACCGUACUACGACGUCGUUCGACACACGUUGGCACGUCCGUAUUGCUUCCCUUCCUUUAUUCAUCGAGGCUUUCCCUUUUCUAAAAAAAUAAUAAUAAUUUUUCUGUAACUGAACUUGC